AGUGUCUCAGUGUCCCCAUGUGUCCCCUAGUGUCUGUGUCCCCAUGUGUCCCCUAGUGUCUGUGUCUCAGUGUCCCCAGUGUCUGUGUCCCCAUGUGUCCCCUCAGUGUCUGUGUCUCAGUGUCCCCAUUUGUCCCCUAGUGUCUCAGUGUCCCCAUUUGUCCCCUAGUGUCUCAGUGUCCCCAUGUGUCCCCCAGUGUCUGUGUCCCCAUGUGUCCC